rnacentral:rRNA from 1 species
UAAGGAAUAUUGGACAAUGGGGGCAACCCUGAUCCAGCCAUGCCGCGUGAGUGAUGAAGGCCUUCGGGUUGUAAAACUCUUUUAGAUGUGACGAUGAUGACGGUAGCAUCAGAAAAAGCUCCGGCUAACUUCGUGCCAGCAGCCGCGGUAAUACGAAGGGAGCGAGCGUUGUUCGGAAUCACUGGGCUUAAAGCGUACGUAGGCGGACAUGAAAGUCAGGAGUGAAAUCCCAGGGCUUAACCCUGGAAUUGCUUUUGAAACUCCAUGUCUUGAAUCCGGUAGAGGUUGGCGGAACUCCGAGUGUAGAGGUGAAAUUCGCAGAUAUUCGGAAGAACACCAGUGGCGAAAGCGGCCAACUGGACCGGUAUUGACGCUGAGGUACGAAAGCGUGGGUAGCAAACAGG